GAUGAACGCUAGCGGCAGGCUUAAUACAUGCAAGUCGUGGGGCAGCGCAGUGUAGCAAUACAUGGGCGGCGACCGGCAAACGGGUGCGGAACACGUACACAACCUUCCUUCAAAUGGGGAAUAGCCCAGGGAAACUUGGAUUAAUACCCCGUAACAUUAUGAGGUGGCAUCACUUUAUAAUUAUAGCUCCGGCGUUUGGAGAUGGGUGUGCGGCUGAUUAGGUAGUUGGCGGGGAACGCCCACCAAGCCUUCGAUCAGUAACUGGUGUGAGAGCACGACCAGUCACACGGGCACUGAGACACGGGCCCGACUCCUACGGGAGGCAGCAGUAAGGAAUAUUGGGCAAUGGACGCAAGUCUGACCCAGCAUGCCGCGUGGA
rnacentral:rRNA from 1 species